rnacentral:rRNA from 1 species
AGAAUCAACGCUGGCGGCGUGCCUAACACAUGCAAGUCGAGCGGAAAGGCCCUUCGGGGUACUCGAGCGGCGAACGGGUGAGUAACACGUGAGUAACCUGCCCCUAGCUCUGGGAUAGCUCCGGGAAACCGGGAUUAAUACCAUAUACGACCACUUUAGACAUCUGUCGUGGUGGAAAGGAUUCCGGCUAGGGAUGGGCUCGCGGCCUAUCAGCUUGUUGGUGGGGUAACGGCCUACCAAGGCGACGACGGGUA